UCAAUAAUAAAGUUGAGAAGUAUUCUCCUGUUUAGUUUAAGGCCCUUAAACGUUCUCAUUGCUAAAUAUAUGUCCCUGGUGAUGCAGUAGUGACAUAACUGGAGUUUACUCCCCCCAUCCCCCCGCCCUUGAAUUUCAUGGGUGUGACACCAAAGAUGCUGCCCCGGGUGACACCAACUCUAGCGACGCCGCUGGUUUGGACUUCCGUUCUCGAAUGUCAGCUGCUUUUGGGUCAGUGGCAGAACGUCAGCUAUCAUAAUGGAUAACCAAGAUGAUCCAUUUGACUAUAACACCAUUGAGAUCCCGACUGUGGUGGGUCUCCUGAGAAAUAUUCUUACCCAGUAUCCUGACAAUGGUCAAAUAAUCAAGGAAUUGGUACAAAAUGCUGAAGAUGCUGGAGCCACAGUUGGGUUGACAGUUUUGCAUGAUACACGAAAAGUGCAGAGUUCCGAAGCUCAUAAUGAUGUUCAAA